AUUGAACGCUGGCGGCAGGCUUAACACAUGCAAGUCGAACGAGUGGCGGACGGGUGAGUAAUGCUUGGGAAUCUGGAUUAUGGAGGGGGAUAAAGACGGGAAACUGUCGCUAAUACCGCGUACACGAGUAUGAGCCCAAGUGGGAUUAGGUACUUGGUGGGGUAAUGGCAUACCAAGCCGACGAUCUCUAGCUGGUCUGAGAGGAUGACCAUGCACACCGGGACGGAGGCACGGCCCAGACGCCAUCGGGAGGAAGCAGUGGGGAAUAUUGCGCAAUGGGGGCAACCCUUGCGCGGCCAUGCCGCGUGAAUGAAGAAGGCCUUCUGGUUGUAAAGUUCUUUCGGUGACGAGGCGUUAAACACAGAAGAAGCACCGGCUAACUCCGUGCCAGCAGCCGCGGUAAUAC
rnacentral:rRNA from 1 species